rnacentral:rRNA from 1 species
CUACGGGAGGCAGCAGUGGGGAAUCUUGCGCAAUGGGCGAAAGCCUGACGCAGCAACGCCGCGUGCGGGAAGAAGGCUCUCGGGUUGUAAACCGCUUUCAGAAGGAACGAAACUGACGGUACUUUCAGAAGAAGGUGCGGCCAACUACGUGCCAGCAGCCGCGGUGACACGUAGGCACCAAGCGUUGUCCGGAUUUAUUGGGCGUAAAGAGCUCGUAGGCGGUUCAGUAAGUCGGGUGUGAAAACUUUGGGCUUAACCCAAAGCCUGCAUCCGAUACUGCUGUGACUUGAGUACGGUAGGGGAGCGGGGAAUUUCUAGUGUAGCGGUGAAAUGCGCAGAUAUUAGAAGGAACACCGGUGGCGAAGGCGCCGCUCUGGGCCGUAACUGACGCUGAGGAGCGAAAGCGUGGGUAGCAAACAGGAUUAGAUACCCUAGUAGUCC